UUCGGCAAUAUCUAUUACUCACAUAGGUGUGCAACACUAGCAAAAAUAAAGGACUUAGAUGGUCACUAGGACUUAGCUGUCCUAGAAUUAGUUUGCAAACUUUCAGUUUCCAUAAUUUCUACAGUUUGAGAAUUAUUUCUUUAGCUAAGAUUGUAAGGUAUUAUCUAUACUUAAACAGCAAGCAAUUGCCAUCAGACUCUACUCUUACCUCUCUUCUCUCAAGCAGGAGCACCUACUGCAGCCCAGACUGGCGCAUCGUCGUCUCGACACCUACCCAUCACAGCUCCCUCGAAGCCACCUCGUCGCCCAGGCACCCGUCUCUUCCAAGCAGCCUACAACAGGCCAGGGGCCAGCGACCCGGACCAAAUGUGAAGAUCCUAGUAUCCAUCUGGGCUGUGCUGCAAGCAGCAACGCAGGAAGUAGCGCAACACAUUAAAAGAGCAGACAAAAAUGUGAACCUCAAGGGAGCGUAAACUGGUAGUCUUGCUUCUCCAUAUCUUUCCACGAGUAGCAUUAGGGGUGAAUAACGAGCCAUCUCAACUAAGUGGCAUCUCCAUUUGGGGACAAUCACACAGCGGCAAUGGAACUGUAGGAGAGGACCAUUGAAUUGUAUAUUUUAUUGAUCCCUGUAUUUCUACCAUUAUGUUUUUCGGUACACUCAACAGAUCUUUACAUGUUUGCUUGUAGAAAGUCUGUCUGAAUUUCAUGAUGUACCUUAGUAAUUUUAACUGAUGAGAUAUCCUGUUGCUAGAAAUAUUGAUCAUUAACUUAAUAAACCUUAAAUGUUCAAAUGUUCGUCAA